rnacentral:rRNA from 1 species
GUAGGGGGCAAGCGUUGUCCGGAAUUAUUGGGCGUAAAGAGUACGUAGGCGGUCUGGUAAGCGCAAGGUGAAAGGCAUAGGCUCAACCAAUGUCAGCCUUGCGAACUGUCAGACUUGAGUGCAGGAGGGGAAAGUGGAAUUCCUAGUGUAGCGGUGAAAUGCGUAGAUAUUAGGAGGAACACCAGUGGCGAAGGCGACUUUCUGGACUGUAACUGACGCCGAGGUACGAANGCGUGGGGAGCAAACAGGAUUAGAUACCCUGGUAGUCCACGCCGUAAACGAUGAGCACUAGGUGUCGGGGCCGCAGGGCUUCGGUGCCGCAGUUAACGCAUUAAGUGCUCCGCCUGGGGAGU